CCCUCCGCCCUGCAGCUGUGGCUCCAGGAACCAAGCCGCCAGCAGAAGGGGCAUUGCUGGAAGGUCCAUUCCGUGAGGUUCCACACUGGUGAGAUGUGUCCUUGAUCCCAGGGUUGGGCAGAGGAAAAAGGGCUCCGCAGAAUCCUGAAGCAUUGACGGGUCAGCCGGGCCCCUGGGAAGGGCUUCCUUCUUCAGCACAUGACUCCCCUCUGGUGGCCAGUAGCUGCAAUUGUCAGUUGCGGCGCUGGAGAGGAACAAAAAUUAUGACCUCUUCUUCCUGGGUGUCUGCCGUGUUCCGGACGCUCACACAUAUCUGGUCUAAUCCUCACAACCACUCUGUGAGCGGGG
rnacentral:lncRNA from 1 species